GGAGAGAUGGCUCAGUGGUUAAGAGCACUGGCUGCUCUUCCAGAGGACCUGGGUUCAAUUCCUAGCACCC
rfam:Cricetulus griseus cell line CHO-K1, whole genome shotgun sequence.